rnacentral:pre_miRNA from 1 species
UCAUCAAAAUGGAUAAAAGGAAAUGUAUCUAGACGUAUUUUAGUUUUAGAUACAUAUCUUUUUAUCCAUUUUGAUGACAAGUAUUUUCGGACGGAGGCAGUAGAAA